AUUGAACGCUGGCGGCAGGCCUAACACAUGCAAGUCGAACGAGUGGCGGACGGGUGAGUAAUGCAUGGGAAUCUGGCUUAUGGAGGGGGAUAACUACGGGAAACGGUAGCUAAUACCGCGUACCAUAGGAUGAGCCCAAGUGGGAUUAGGUAGUAGGUGAGGUAAAGGCUCACCAAGCCGACGAUCCCUAGCUGGUCUGAGAGGAUGACCAGCCACACUGGGACUGAGACACGGCCCAGACUCCUACGGGAGGCAGCAGUGGGGAAUAUUGCGCAAUGGGGGCAACCUGAUGCAGCCAUGCCGCGUGUAUGAAGAAGGCCUUCGGGUUGUAAAGUACUUUCGGUAGCGAGGCGUUACCUACAGAAGAAGCACCGGCUAACUCCGUGCCAGCAGCCGCGGUAAUAC
rnacentral:rRNA from 1 species